rnacentral:rRNA from 1 species
UGGGGAAUAUUGCACAAUGGGCGAAAGCCUGAUGCAGCAACGCCGCGUGAGUGAUGAAGGUCUUCGAAUUGUAAAGCUCUGUCUUUUGGGACGAUAAUGACGGUACCAAAGGAGGAAGCCACGGCUAACUACGUGCCAGCAGCCGCGGUAAUACGUAGGUGGCGAGCGUUGUCCGGAUUUACUGGGCGUAAAGGGUGCGUAGGCGGAUGUUUAAGUGAGAUGUGAAAUACCCGGGCUUAACUUGGGUGCUGCAUUUCAAACUGGAUAUCUAGAGUGCAGGAGAGGAGAAUGGAAUUCCUAGUGUAGCGGUGAAAUGCGUAGAGAUUAGGAAGAACACCAGUGGCGAAGGCGAUUCUCUGGACUGUAACUGACGCUGAGGCACGAAAGCGUGGGUAGCAAACAGGAUUAGAUACCCUGGUAGUCCACGCCGUAAACGAUGAGUACUAGGUGUAGGAGGUAUCGACCCCUUCUGUGCCGCAGUAAACACAUUAAGUACUCCGCCUGGGAAGUACGAUCGCAAGAUUAAAAC